GUUUGCAAUAUAAAUAUUCAAGACAUAAGCCAAAAACUGGCCUUUAUAUACCUCACUUCUACUGGAAGAACUAAGCAAAAAUAAACCACAAAAAAACCACAAAAACACACAAAAAAACAAACCAUAAAAGCUAUGAAGACCAAUCUGUGACAUAGUAUGAUUAAUUAAAAUUUAAUUUUUAUAAUUCUAUAUUAAUGAAUAGCUAUUUUUCCUAAACAGAUACUUUAAAAAUUACAUUAUUCAAUCAAUGAUUCAAAACUGAAUGGUUUCUUUUAGGGUUUCAUUGGUACAUAUUAAACCAAAGGCAUCAGGAAUACAUUAAAAAAAUGCAGAACAAGCCAGCCAACCAAAAAACAUGGACAAAGAUUUUAAAUGUACUUUAAUUAGGGCAUACCCCAAUAGAUCUAUAUAAUGCUGACAAAAAGUCAUCAGAUCAACUAUAGCAAGCUAGAACCAAGAUGCUUGAGUUAACACAAAUUAAAGUCUGGUAUAUACACCAAUUAACAAGGAAUCUCAGGCCUCAUUCUGUAGUGUACCUAUCCCUUUAAGAGAGGCAUCUGGAAGAUUGCUAUGAUUUAGAAUCAUCUCCAAGGUGACUGAGUGUUUUCCAGAGGGAAACAUACUCCAGGCCACAGAGCAUUAGGAAAAACUAAAAAAAGACCUUUUCUCCUUCUUUAUGUCACCUUGGGGUCACUAAUUAUAAGCCUGGAAUCAAAUAUAACAUGAACAGGGAAAUAACAAAUUGGAGAUUGAAAACUAGGACACGGUGCAAGACAGAGAAUAAAGAAAAAGAGAAUAAACAAAAUCCCAGAAGUUCAGGUGAUGUGAAUAGCUCUCUUAACAAUUUUUUAUUCGUUGGUCAUUUUAAUCUUUUCCAACAACUCUUUGUGCACUCAAUUGGGUUUGUUUGGGUAUUUUUUCUGUGUGGCAAAGUUACUGGAGUGAUUUCAAUUAAAAAUGUGAGACUUUAUCAAAGCCAUAUAUUCUGCUUAAGAGAGGCAAGCAGGAGGAGAGUCAAGGGAAAGAAAUCAACUUCAAAUAAUGUCUUCCAUGAAGUAAGCUAUGCCUAGGGAUAAAAUAUUCUCUAAAAUUCAUCUUGAAAGUUCAUAGAACCAUAGGAUCCCCAAAUUGGAAUAAAUCUUGGAAAUCAUCUAACA
rnacentral:lncRNA from 1 species